rnacentral:other from 1 species
UAUUCUCGGCGUAGGGUACAGAGGUUAAGAUGUUCUAUCUUUCAAACCUUUUUAUUUCACUUAGUAUAUAAGUGAACAGCCAAAUUAUGGCGCCUCAGCAAUUUAUUUUGCUGGGGCUUUUUUUC